UAUAAGGCAAAAAAAAGAGACACUGGCUACUUUUACAUCCUUAAAGUGGACUCCAGGAAUGUCACCAACAGCAUGACCUUUGGAACCAAAUCCAGCAACCAGAACUUCAUCAUUUUCCUCAAUAAAAUUCAAGCAACCGUCUCUGGGUACAAAAGGCUGUGGUUUUUUGCCAUUCUUGGUGAAGUGAACCCUGACACAUUUCCUGAUGGCAGAAUUUGGCUAUUUGGCUUCAAUCCCUAUUUUUUUCGAGCACAAUUCUCUUGGCAUGAGAAGUGCAUCCAAAAGGGUUGGCCUUCAGGGCUGUGCCCAAAUGGGCUUUCUUGUACUGUUACCAUGCCGCUUCUGGGCUUGUCGGUGGCUACAGAGUUUCCUGGCAAAGACUACGACGCUUGCUCAUCCUACCAGCAUUGUGGGCCUG
rnacentral:lncRNA from 1 species